CUACGGGAGGCAGCAGUGAGGAAUAUUGCACAAUGGGGGGAACCCUGAUGCAGCAACGCCGCGUGGAGGAUGACGCAUUUCGGUGUGUAAACUCCUUUUAUAUGUCAAGAAAAUGACGGUAGCAUAUGAAUAAGCACCGGCUAACUCCGUGCCAGCAGCCGCGGUAAUACGUGAGGGUGCAAGCGUUACUCGGAAUCACUGGGCGUAAAGGACGCGUAGGCGGGUUGGAAAGUCAGGUGUGAAAUCCUACAGCUUAACUGUAGAACUGCACCUGAAACUUCUAAUCUAGAGUAUGGGAGGGGGAGAUGGAAUUAGUGGUGUAGGGGUAAAAUCCGUAGAUAUCACUAGGAAUACCUAAAGCGAAGGCGAUCUCCUGGAACAUUACUGACGCUAAGGCGUGAAAGCGUGGGGAGCAAACAGGAUUAGAUACCCUCGUAGUC
rnacentral:rRNA from 1 species